GAUGACUCCUGCAGCAACCAAUCCAGCAAAUCGUCGACUGAUUAGGCCACAUGGGGAUUGGCAGUGGGACGAUAUUUGUUGGGAGGGAAAAAAUAGGUUAAGACCUGUGAAUGCAACAUUGGGAACACUUUGUCGGUUUCACUACCCAGGAAUGGUCACAGUUGGAGGUGUGCUUCAGCCUGCAUUGAAGUGGGAGCAUUAUAAGCUGCAAUCGGAUGACCAGGGCGUCACGACGGCAGCGAGAGUUUGGAAUGACUUUUGGGAGAGGUAUCGUUUGCCGGAGGAGGAGGAGCAGUGCCUACAAGAUAGGGCUCGUUCUGUGUUUGACAAGGCAGCGACGAAGGUGGUGAGGGACAUGAUGUCCAAUGCUCGUAUACAGUGCGUUUGUUUGUACUACAAGAAAAUAAAGCUGCAACACAUGAACAAGAAAUUGGGUGCUUCUGAGAUAUAUCUUCGAGAGGAUGAGUACCUUGAAGCUGAUAUUAGCGGUUUGCCUUGGUUGAGAAAGUGUCCGGAUGCUUGGCGA